rnacentral:rRNA from 1 species
GCGGUAAAAAAGCUCGUAGUUGGAUUUCUGUUGAGAGCGACCGGUCCAUACCACGUAUGCGUAUCUGGCUUGCCCUCGGCAUCCUCUCGAUAGACGUUGCUGCGCUUGAUUGCGUGGCGCGGAUCUCGGGACUUUUACUUUGAGGAAAUUAGAGUGUUCACGGCAGGCUUUCGCCAGAAUACAUUAGCAUGGAAUAGUACUAUAGGAUCUUGGUUCUAUUUUGUUGGUUUCUAGAAUUGAGAUAAUGAUUAAUAGGGACAAUUGGGGGCAUUCGUAUCAACACGUCAGAGGUGGAAUUCUUGGAUUGUGUUGCGACGAACUACUGCGAAAGCAUUUGCCAAGGAUGUUUUCAUUGAUCAAGAACGAAAGUAAGGGGAUCGAAGACGAUUAGAUACCGUCGUAGUCUUUACCAUAAACUAUGCCGACUAGAGAUGGGGCAUCGUUCAUUUACGACUUGCUCCGCACCUUAUGAGAUAUCAAAGUUUUUGGGCUCCGGGGGGAGUAUGGUCGCAAGAUUGAAACUUAAAGGAAUUGACGGAAGGGCACCACCAGGAGUGGAGCCUGCGGCUUAAUUUGACUCAACACGGGGAAACUCACCAGGUCCAGACAUAAUAAGGAUUGACAGAUUGAUAGCUC